UUUGGUGUUUUGGCCCGGCGCAGUGGUUCACGCCUGUAAUCUCAGCACUUUGCGAGGCCGAGGCGGCGGAUCACCUGAGGUCAGGAGUUGGAGACCAGCCUGGCCAACAUGGUGAAACCCCGUCUCUACUAAAAUAUACAAAAACUAGCCAGGCCUGUUGGCAGGCGACUUAAUCCCGGGUACUUGGGAGGCAGAGGCAGGAGAAUCAUUUGAACCCGGGAGGCAGAGGUUUCAGUGAGCCGAGAUCGAGCCAUUGUGCUUAAACUUGGGGGAUAAGAGCGAGACUUCUCUCAAACAAAAAAAGUUGUUUUGUUUUGUUUUUGUUUGUUUUGCGGCAGGGUCUCACUCUGUCACCGAGGCUGGAGUGCAGUGGCGCGACCUCGGCUCAUUGCAGCCUGUCUCUUGACAGUCCGCGGGUUAAAGCGAUUCUCUUGUCUCAGCCUUCUGAGUAGCUGUGAUUACAGGCGCCCGCUACCACGCCUGGCUAACUUGUGUUUUUAAUAGAGACGGCGUUUCACCGUGUUGGCCAGGCUGGUCUCGAACUCCUGAUCUCAAAUGACCCACCUUUAGUCUCCCAAAGUGCUGGGAUUCCAGGUAUGAGCCACCGCGCUAGGACCCAAGGCCCUUAAGUUUUAAGGCCUCAUUCUUCAGUCAGGUUUUCCUUGUUCCUGUGUGCUCAGCCAAUUGGUUUUGAGUUUGUGUUUAAGGAGAAACUAACAAUGAAAAUGGACUCGAUGAUGGAAGAAAAGCUGGAAUGCAGCCUCUGGUGCUGUUUGAGCGAUCCCUCUCUCCGGGGCCUGGCUGCGCGCUGCUGUGUUCUGGAAAGGCGCAUUGUACCAUAGAUGCGGCAGUGUCUCUCUUCCUACACAUUUCAUUAUUGAGAAAAUGGAUGAAUAGAGAAGCUGAGAGAAGCUAAAUUACUUGCAACAAGAGUAAGAAAAUGGCUUCUCUGCCCAAAAGCAACUCACGAUUCUGCCAAGUGACCUGAAAUGUCAAUACAGAUGAUAUCCGACUUACCCUGGUUUGAAUUAGGAUUUCUUUACUUAUAUGAUGUAUUUAUCAGGACAUAAUUCCAUCCUCAGUGGAAGAGCAUCUGGACUUAAAAUGGUUCAACUUACAACUUUUCAGUUUUACAAUGGGUUUUUCAGGGUAUUAAAUGCAUUUUCAACUUAGGAUAUUUUUGAUUUCCAGUGUAUUUAUUGGGACAUAACCACAUUGUAAGUCUAGAAACAUCUGUCUUAGAAACUUAAAGGCUUUGUUAUCUUCAAAUAUAUCUUAAUGAAAUGUAAGUAUCUUUGAAAAAAUAAUACUUUAGUAAAUAUUCAUCUACAUCCAAUUAUUUUUAAUGGUAUUAGACAUACAAGGAGAGCCAUAGCAAAAAACAAAAAAGGGAU
rnacentral:lncRNA from 1 species